rnacentral:misc_RNA from 1 species
AAGUCGUAACAAGGUUUCCGUAGGUGAACCUGCGGAAGGAUCAUUAACGAAUAACUAUGGUGUCUUGGUUGUAGCUGGCUCCUCGGAGCAAUGUGCACGCCCGCCAUUUUUAUCUUUCCACCUGUGCACCGACUGUAGGUCUGGAUGACUCUCGCACUCCGGUGCGGAUGCGAGGAUUGCUCUCGGGCUCUCCUCGAAUUUCCAGGCUCUACGUCUUUUUUACACACCCCAAACGUAUGAUACAGAAUGUAGUCAAUGGGCUUGAUCGCCUAUAAAACACUAUACAACUUUCAGCAACGGAUCUCUUGGCUCUC